UUUAAAUAAUUAAAAAGAGUUUUGAUGAAAAUUAAGCAAAAUAUAAGAAAAAUAUGAGCAAAACAUAAGUUAAAUAUGAUAAAAUUAUUUGUAAAGUGUUAUGUAUGUCCAUGUUAUUGAGAUAAUUCAAAUUAUCAUUGAAAGCAUUGAUGAACAGAUAAUCUUGUUUGUUUCCUAUUAUUUAAUAUUAUUAUUUUUAAAAUGUAAUAUUAUUAAGUUCAAGAAUGUUGUAUGACUUGUAUCUUUAAUCUUCGGACGUAACUUCAUUACCAGAUUUUGUUCUUGAUGCUCUUAAUGGUCUACUUUCAACUUCUUGAGAAGUGCAAUAUUCAGCCAAUUUUGCAAUCUUCUUGAUUCUCUUAAUGGUUUCUUUGUCCGUUGCUAUGGUGCCAUCAACCAAGUUCAAGAAUGUUGAAAUUUUAAUCUUCGGACGUAACCACAUGACCAGAUUUUGUUCAUCAACACUCAAAGUCUCAUAAUUCGCUUUUCUUCCUGUGAUCAACUCCAUUAGAAUCACCUCGAAUGCAUAUACAUCCGCUUUUUUUGUGACCCUCUUAGAACCUACAAAUAUACUUCGAAAAUAUUAUUUUUUAUAUUUUUCCUUAUUUUGAAAAUAGUUAAAUUAACACAAAUACUGAUACAUAUAAUGAGCUGAAGAUUAAGUCUGAUUAUGAUAAUCUAAUUUACCAACAUAAUCUGGAUCAAUACAGUUGAAGGUUCCCACCACUCUUAAUGUCUCAAAUGAGUCUACUCCCUCGAGUACGAGCUUCAUACAGCCAAAAUCAGAAAUCUUCGCUCUUAUGUCAUCUCCUAUAGCCUAUAAGUAUGGAAGGCUUCAAGUCUCUAUGGAUAUAGUUUUCUCGCAAGACCUUGGAGAUAUUUUGAUUUCUUCAUUUUGAGUCUUGCAUUAUCAAUAGAUAUGUUUUGAGAUAAAUCAAAAAUUUUGAAAAGUUUGAAAAUCCAAAAAGAAUCUGGUAGCUUUGCAUAUUUAUUUUUGUUAUUAGAAUUGAGUCUAAUAGCAUCUAGUUUGCGUUUGCAAAUGCAUAUGGGUUAAUGAUUUCAUUUGCCUUGUAGAAGUUCAAGUUUAGGAUUAGGAUCUUUGCCCUAGGUCGUAAUUGAUUGCAUUUAGCGGUUUGGAAAAAACGGAAAAUCCAUGAUUGAAUCAUUUCUCUUUCAAAAGUCACUACCUUUAUGAAACUUGUAUGUUUCCGAAGCAUCUAUAUGAAUUUGAGUUUAGACCAUCUCCAUCAAUUGUUUCUCAUUUAGAAACCACCUAAUAUAAAAAUAAAAUGUAAUCAAAAAGUAAGAAAAAGAGUGAAGAGAGUCUCUUAACUGAGAAACUAUGAGAAACCCACAAAGACACUUGUUUAUCAUGCAUUGAUCAAAUUUUAUUUUA
rnacentral:sRNA from 1 species